rnacentral:misc_RNA from 1 species
UUUCCGUAGGUGAACCUGCGGAAGGAUCAUUAAAGUUAUAGUCCCCCGGCCCCUCCGGGCUGGGGUCUUCUAUACCACCCUUUGUUUAUUACACCUUUGUUGCUUUGGCAGGCCUGCCCUCGGGCUGCUGGCUCCGGCCGGCUCGUGCCUGCCAGAGGACCUAAACUCUGUUUGUAUAUGAAGCCUGAGUACUAUAUAAUAGUUAAAACUUUCAACAACGGAUCUCUUGGUUCUG